rnacentral:rRNA from 1 species
UACGAAGGGGGCUAGCGUUGUUCGGAAUUACUGGGCGUAAAGCGCACGUAGGCGGGCGAUUAAGUCAGGGGUGAAAUCCCGGAGCUCAACUCCGGAACUGCCUUUGAUACUGGUCGUCUAGAGAUCGGAAGAGGUGAGUGGAAUUCCCAGUGUAGAGGUGAAAUUCGUAGAUAUUGGGAAGAACACCAGUGGCGAAGGCGGCUCACUGGUCCGACACUGACACUGAGAGACGAAAGCUAGGGGAGCGAAUGGG